AGAGGAGAGGAGAGGAGAGGAGAGGAGAGGAGAGGAGAGUCUUGCUAUGGGGGACUGUUUCACUGGAGAACCGUAAGAACUCUACAAGUAGGCAAAAUACAAACGCGCAGGAGAAAGACAUCUGAGAACACUUAGCUGGCCUCACUGAUAGAAAUGAUUGUGGGGAGAGGGGUUAAAUAGAUCCCAGAGAACAAGGAAAGAUGUGGAACGUUACUUGGGUAAUUGGAGUGCUGGGUAGCAAAUACUGGAGGCAAAUCCACGUCUCCUAAGAGACCUGGCGACGUCUGGGGAAUGCAGUCCCUGCUUUAGCAUUGCUCUUUUUAAAAAGUAAGGCAGCUGGAAAGCAUCAGGCAGCGAAGAAGGGACAGAUUUGGUGACACAGCUUCUGAGGGGGUACGGGAGAAGGAGGAGCACACGGAAGGGAGAUGGACUCCCUGCAUGUAACUCACCCCGCUGAGAAGGAGAGCCGCAGCCUUCUCCACGCAGACAAAAGAUGGCGAAGAGCCCGUGGUACCAAGCUGAACAGCAGCAGGCACCGAGGGACAAGGUCUCUGUGGCCACUUCUCCAGCCCAGCCACAGCUCUUCCCUCUCUGCAGGUCCAGCACGACCAACAAGAGCAAUGCAAAGUUUCAAUGGAGGAUCCAGCACUAACCUAACACCAAAACAAUCCAGGUGUGUGUCUUCAGCAGCAUGAGACUGAGAUGCCCUCCCCCUCCAACAGCAUGGCCACUAAAAUACACAGCAGACAGACUACAGACAAGGCAGAGGACUCAGUUUGGGGGUUUCUCUGGGAGGAAACCCAUGAGACAGCACCACGCCAUGGCCUGGCCCAGCUCAGCUCAUCCUCCCUUCCUCCAGAGGGAUACAAACUCUCCACGAGGAUGAAAACCAC
rnacentral:lncRNA from 1 species